rnacentral:tRNA from 1 species
UAAAAAAAUAGGAAUUGAACCUACAACCAAGAGAUCAAAACUC